AGUGAACGCUGGCGGUAGGCCUAACACAUGCAAGUCGAACGGCAGCACAGUAAGCGCUUGCUCUUACGGGUGGCGAGUGGCGGACGGGUAAGGAAUACAUCGGCAUCUACUUUUUCGUGGGGGAUAACGUAGGGAAACUUACGCUAAUACCGCAUACGUCCUACGGGAGAAAGCAGGGGAUCUUCGGACCUUGCGCGUUUGAAUGAGCCGAUGUCGGAUUAGCUAGUUGGCGGGGUAAAGGCCCACCAAGGCGACGAUCCGUAGCUGGUCUGAGAGGAUGAUCAGCCACACUGGAACUGAGCCACGGUCCAGACUCCUACGGGAGGCAGCAGUGGGGAAUAUUGGACAAUGGGCGCAAGCCUGAUCCAGCCAUACCGCGUGGGUGAAGAAGGCCUUCGGGUUGUAAAGCCCUUUUGUUGGGAAAGAAAAGCAGCAGGUUAAUACCCCGCUGUUCUGACGGUACCCAAAGAAUAAGCACCGGCUAACUUCGUG
rnacentral:rRNA from 1 species